rnacentral:rRNA from 1 species
AUGGACCUGGUCGUGCCCAUACCAUACGUCCCCGACGAGAAGGGCUACGCCUUCGCGCUCAAGGACGACAGCGCCUACAGCUUCCGCUUCUUGUUCAUCGUCUCCAACAACAUUGUGUCGGGGCUCAAGUACACCAACACCGUCUGGAAGACUGGAGUAAGAGGGCAUAGAGGUUCCGCUGGUAACAAGUUCCGAAUGUCGCCGGGUCUGCCGGUUGCAGCCACUGUCAACUGCGCUGAUAACACUAGUGCCAAGAACCUCUACAUCAUCUCUGUGAAGGUAAUCAAGGGGCGCCUGAAUAGGCUCCCUUCUGCCUGCGUUGAUGACAUGGUUAUGGCCACUGUCAAGAAGGGCAAGCCAGACCUGAGGAAGAAAGUCAUGCCGGCUAUCAUUGUGAGACAGUGUAAGCCAUGUCACCAUAAGGACAAUGUCUUCAUGUACUUUGAAGGUGCUGGAGCAGCUGAGCGGACAGUCACCGUUGUUCUCCAAGGCGAGGUACAUUGUCAGGUCAUUCGGUAUCAGGCGUAA